CAAGGCCCAGAAAGGCUAAGUCACUGUGCAAGCUGACUCAGCUGGUGAGGGGUGGACCCAGGUGUCAUCGACUGUGGAAUCACCUUGCUCUAAAACCCUACAGCUUCUUGCAUGAUGCCUCUUUGCGUGUCUCUCUGUUGAUUCUUCACGAACUCUGGACAGAUAGCUGCUGCUGCUGCUGGGUGACUGAUUCACCCUGUCCCUGACAUUCUGUAGCUUGAUAUAAGAAAGACUCCAGCAUCUGGAGAGAGAGAGAGAGAGAGAGAGAGAGAGAGAGAGAGAGAGAGACCCAUUGGCUGUUGGUCAGGAGGGAGGAUGCUGGUUGGUGCUGGAAUCCCUCCAUAAUCAUGUUGCAUGGAAAUUAAGCUUGCCGGCUGGAGAGAUGGCU